GUUUUCGGAUCGUAAAGCUCUGUUGUUAAGGAAGAACGAGUGUGAGAAUGGAAAGUUCAUACUGUGACGGUACUUAACCGGAAAGGGACGGCUAACUACGUGCCAGCAGCCGCGGUAAUACGUAGGUCCCGAGCGUUGUCCGGAUUUAUUGGGCGUAAAGCGAGCGCAGGCGGUUAGAUAAGUCUGAAGUUAAAGGCAGUGGCUCAACCAUUGUAGGCUUUGGAAACUGUUUAACUUGAGUGCAGAAGGGGAGAGUGGAAUUCCAUGUGUAGCGGUGAAAUGCGUAGAUAUAUGGAGGAACACCGGUGGCGAAAGCGGCUCUCUGGUCUGUAACUGACGCUGAGGCUCGAAAGCGUGGGGAGCGAACAGGAUUAGAUACCCUGGUAGUCCACGCCGUAAACGAUGAGUGCUAGGUGUUAGGUCCUUUCCGGGACUUAGUGCCGCAGCUAACGCAUUAAGCACUCCGCCUGGGGAGUACGACCGCAAGGUUGAAACUCAAAGGAAUUGACGGGGGCCCGCACAAG
rnacentral:rRNA from 1 species